UCAGUCGUUCUCCGGUCUGUUACCUUGUUCAGACCGUUUUGAGUUCUGACUAGGGGCCGAAGUCAAGGGAAAGUUCAAGAUGUUGUCCCCGCUGCACAGAGGCGGCUGUGAGCCCCAACAGAGCCGGCUGAGGACGCGGCGGCCUUGCUCCCGGCCCCGCUUUUACCACAGGUCGGUGGCGGAGGCCGCGCCGAUGAACUCGCCUGAGCAUGGCUUGACAAGCGGUGCGUCGGUGCGUGCCAGGGAUCCGAACCUGCAAACCCUGGGCUGCCGAAGCAGAGGGCAUGCACUUAACUGCUGGUGCCUCCGGGCUUGCCCAACAUAAAGGGUCCCACGUCGGUGGCAGAAAUGCUUAUGGAUCCUGCACAGGGCUUGCAGUUUCCAGGUCUCAUGUAGUUACCCAAAUGGAGCCACAGGGGAGCCAAGGGUGCCUGAGAAGGUAGACACAACCUCAGCCACAGCAAAGAAGACCUGGAGGAGGCCUGGUUUUUGGCAUGGAGUGGAAGAUGAGGAUGCACCUUGUGAGCAGGGCUUUUCUGUAAGCGUGUCACAGACGAGAACUCCCAGGAGGGGUCCUUCCAGCCAAAUGGCUCACCCCUGUGACACGUGUAGCCCAGUCUUGAGAGACAUUUUUGCAUCUGGCUGAGCCACAGGGAACACCAUGUGGGUAGCACCCAUACACCACCAUGUGAAUCAUUUGGAGAUACUUCUGGUUGAACGUAAACCUUGACUGAAUGCAGAAGCAGCAGAGUUGAGAGUAAUUCCUCAGAAGGGAGAAGGGCCAGGCCUUGUUGGUGAAGAGCUGCAGAUCUCAUGUGUGAGAGGCCUUCAUUCACACGGAGGGUCCCAAGAACUUCUUGGUCAGCUCUGGACUUGUCCAGCACCAGGCCCCUCACAGUGGGGAGAAGCCACACAGAGCCCUGAGUGUUGGGAGGCGUUUCUGUGCUGGCGUGACUAACAGGCCCAUUUGUGUAGUGGAUUCAUUAUGCAAGAAAGUACCACCUGAGGCCAUGAAACCUUCCACCUCUUGUCAAAAGGAGCCUUGUCAGAAGGAGCCUUGCUCCAGGGUCAGUUGCCUUGGAGUCUCAAGGGACUCCUGGUUGGCAUGAGCUGGCGAACAAGGAGGGCCAGAUGCAGAAAGGGCGAGAGACUCCCCCAAGGAGAGUCUCCCCAGGAGGACGAGCUCUAAACCCUGUGGUGUGGGGACAGAUGAUAAUCCCCACUCAAGAGUUUCACAGGAGCGAGGCUCCAGGAGAUGCUUUUCAUGAACAGAACUCACCUGGACCAGGUAAAGCUUCUGUGGUCCAUGCAGGGAAGGAUCUCCACAAGUGGAAGGAAUGCGGGAAAGGGUCGAACAAACGUUGGCCUGUUGUUCGACAUCAGCAGACCAUGCUGACGUGAAGCCCUGUGAUGGCAGUGCACACGAGAAAAGCUUUGUCACAUGGGUGGACCUCAGUCAACACAUGAGGAUUUACACUCAGUGAAGCCAUGUGAGUGCUUCCUGGGUGGGAAGGCCUUCAACUGCAGGUCAGACCUCAUGCAGCACCAGCACCAGCAGAUUCACACUGGGGAGAAGCCUUGUGAAUGCAAAGAAUGUGGGAAAGUCUCUUGUGACAGCUCUGCUUUUGUCCAAAAUAUUUCCCACUCUAGAGAAAGUCUUGGCGUGCAAAACACAUGGGUGAGCCUUUUGUGAUGGCUGUUUUUUUCUCUCAUCACAUGAGGAUUCUCACAGGAGAGAAGCCCUGAGUGCAGUGAAUGUGGAAAGGCCUUCAUUCACCCUUUCAUUCUUUUCUGUCAUGGGAGGAUCCUCACUGGGGAAAACCUUUUGAGUGUAAAGAAUAUCAGAGAGUGUUUUGUGACUGCUCUUCCCUAACUCCUCAACACCCAAGGAGUCAUACUGGGAAGAAACCCUGCAAGUAUAGUGAAUGGACAGGCCCUCAGCCUUGGUUCAUCCCUAACUUGUGCUCGGAGUCUUCAUACUUCAUACUCGGAGUCUCUUAUACUUUAUAGUGAAUGUAAGAGACAUGGGAAAGCCUUUUACAAGUGGGUUUAUGUCAGUCAACUUCUGAGAACUCAUACUGGAGAAAGACCUUUGAAUGUAAUGCCUGAGGAAAAUCUUUUGGCCGUAGGAAAUGUGUUACUCAGCACCUGAGAAAUUAUACCAAAGAGAAACCCCAUAAGUGUCAUCGCUGUGAGAAAAUCUUCUGAGGCAAAGCAUCACUUAUUGUCAUUUAAAGAGUCACAUUGAAAAUUGACUCAGCCUAGGAGCUUACUCUAAUCCAAAAAUUCCUAAAGGAGAGAGAACCAGUGGCUAUUGUGCAAUUACAAAACCUUCAGCUAUAGCUCUACCCUUAGUAUGCACUGUAAAGCAAUCACAGGAAUAGUAAAGAAAAGAGGCAUAAAGGGGAGGAAGAAAAGAAGUAGAUGUAACAGAAAAAGAAAUGCGUUCAUGGCGUCUUUUAGGUGUCCGUGACAAACCCAUGACAGUUUGUUAUCAGUUGGUUUUGUUGUUGGGUGGCAGGGAGGAGCAGUAUAGGACCUUGUCCCCUCCACCUGACUUCAUAUACACUCUCUGCCACCCUGUGUCAGGAGAGCUGGACACUUGACAGCAGCUCUGCAAAUAUUUAUUGAAAUCCUUCUUUUUAAUAAAACAUUGUCUCAACCAUU